UCAUGUUUUUUUUUUUUUAGCACAACUGUAUUGUCUAUUGUAUAUAUUUUACUAAAAAAAUAUCAUUCUCACUAUUCUGGUAUAAUUGUGGUAAUCCCAAUUGACCGAAAACAGGAACAGUUUCGUCUGAUUUCAUGUCAGACAGUCAAGAAAAAAAGCCAUGACUGUCUUUUUAUACAGUCAUGGCUAAAAAUAUGGCACCCCAGGGGUGCCGGUAUUUUUUUUAACACAACUACAUCCGUGUCAUCUAGAUUUUGGUGUGUUGUCAAAUGUAUGACUACAUACCGCAAUUUCUCAUGUAUAAUGUGCAUUUCCCCCCCCCCCCCCCCCUGAAUUUUCUUUAGCAAAAGUCAAUAGUGUGCAUUAUACACGGAUAAGGGGGAAAAAAAAAAAACUUUAACAUUUUAUAAAUGUAUUCCACCAGCUAAAGGUUAGGAAAAAGCUGGACACUUUCAUUCCAAUAUGCCACCCCCACCUAGAGGUUAUGAGAGGUGCAGCCUACACUUUCAUUCCAAUGUGACACAGGGUUACAUAUGGCCGUCGUCAUGGGCCAUUUCGUACUCCUUGAACACCAGAAAAACACUUCCUCCGCUUCAGUUGUUAAGUAAUGGUACUUUUACUCCGUUACAAUUAUCUAAAUGUCGCUCGCUAUUUUUUAUUUAUCAAUUAUUGCUUAUUUAUCAACUAUUUCGUGCACGAAACUACGACUUCGACUUCCGCAUCGGGCGCUGGUUGCGCCAAUCCAGUUUAAGCACUAGUGACGUUUAAGUCUAGUGCACCAAUAGAAACGACACAAGAUAGUCACAUGACCUCACACGUCGUUUUCUAUUGGGCUUCCCGGGCCAUAGGUACUAACACUAGAUAAGCCAGCCCGGCUGCUCGUCAUGCCUUUUUGGCGGCCAUAUUGGGAAGAUCGUCAUUACCAUGAAGGCAAUGGCGCGCUACUCGUGUUUACUUUUAGACGAACAAAAACAACAGCUUUCAUGUAUUGUAGUAUACUUCUGGCACUGUCUGCCCAAGUGUGUAUAUUUCAGCUCACGUAUAACUUUAGAAAACACAGUGCAGUAAAUUGCACGUUUUGUUGUAGUUUUGAUUGUGCAUACACACACAGCAACAUCAAAAUUUGCACAUUCACAUUUUUUUUUUUUUUUUUUAUUGAUGUUCCUGCUGUGGUUAAAAAAAAGGCAUCAUGUCAUCAAACAGCACAGUGCAUACAUGCAAAUCAGUCACCUUUCGGCGAAAUUCUCCGUUUUGAACUCAAAAUAGGCCAUUCACGUAAAUCGUAUAGAUCCGAUGAGUUUUCCCUGGGGGGUCACCGUCACUGACGUCAUAGGCUGUUUCGUAUUCCUUAAACGCUGGGAGCUAGUUCCAUUCCACACAUCCACCAUCAACACACAGAUGUAAUUGUGAUAUUACUCCGUGGCGGACUAAUAUGCGGCCUGCGCUCGAAGUCACAGGAGUUGACGAGACCAGAAAAAAACUUCCGGCGCUUCUGCUGUUAAUAAGUCACGGUACUUUUACUCUGUAACAAUUAUCUAAAUGUCGCUCGCUACUUUUAUUUAUCAAGUGUUGCUUAUUUAUCAACUAUUUUGUGCGCGAGACUUCGACUAACUCAUCGGGCGCUGUCAAACCAAUUUAAGCGCUAGUGAUAUUUAAGUCUAGUUCACCAAUCAAACGACAAGAAAUUCACAUGACCUCACACGACGUCUUCCAUCGGGCUUCCCGGACAUAAGUAUUCACACUAGAUAAGCCUACCACCCUGAUCGUCGUGGUUACGUGGAGGCCAUGUUGGGAAGGUCGUCGUUACCAUGAAUGCAACGGCGCGCUACUCUUGUUUACAUUUAGACGAACAAAAACAACAGCUUUCAUGUACUGUAGUAUUUGUCUGGCACUGUCUGCCCAAAUGUGGAUAUUUCAGCUCACUUAUAACUUGAGAAAACACCGUGCAGUAAAUUGCAGAUGUUUUUUUUUGUAGGUUUGACUGUGCGUAUACACACAGCAACAUCAGAAUUUGUACAUUCACAUUUUAUUUAAAAAAUGUUUUUUUAAUAGAUGUUCAUGCUGUGGUAAAAAAAAAAUCAAAAGUUACUAUUUACUCAGUACUUGAGUUAUAAUUUCACUGCCUACUUUUUACUCUUAACUCAAGUAAUUUUUGGGAGGGCUCCUUUUUACUUUGACUUGAGUCACAUUAUUGUCAAGUAACAGUACUCUUACUUGAGUACAAUGUUUGGCUACUCUGCCCACCUCUGGAGUGGACAUCCUCAAUUGCUGCUCUUAUGUCUAAGCAACAUUUUUGCUAAUCAUAUCAGCCAGUGUUCUUUUGUUGCACUGGUCUUUUGUAUUUUCGUGUUGAGGUGGUGCGGGUUGUGGUCCCAGUGGAACUGCGACGCACACGUAACAUCGGCGUGUAACGGACACGCCAGUAAAGAUGACACAUAGCACCCCCAGCCUCGGCUGCCCUGCCGAGUCAGUCUGCGUACACAAUACAUCGAAGAAGCAGCACAAGGGGGUUAACUUCGCGCACAGACGCGAAAUGAAUUACCAGCCAGUCCCAAGUCGCUCAUCAAAGCUGAGACACAGACAGUGACAUUUGUUCCUUCUGUCUGGGACAAUGGAUGGAGCACUAGCAACACCCACAGGUAGUGGAAACUACUGCAACCCCGGAUGAACUAAUCACAAUCUUCACUGGAUUUGAAUGUUAUAUAAUAUUUUGAACUUUGCAUUAACGCCACCAGUGGUAACAUCGCAAUAGCGCCACUAGUGCUUGUAUUUCUGCAAGUUUGAAUGUCUGAUGUCAAAUCUGUUUGUCAACUGAACCAGAUGAGAUGUUUCACCCCACACAACACAAAUGCCACAUUGCAAAUAUUACAGUGCUCUCAGCAACCACAUACAAUUGAAACAUUCGUUACAGGGAAUAAAGAGAGUGUGCGCGUGACAAUGGAAGGCUGGAAAAUGGUCUCGUUACCUUAAAUCCAAUAAUUAAUAUUUUAUCCUGCUGGUUUUAAACCACAAAAUAACAUUAAGAGGCGGUCCAUCUUCCCUGUUGGCCCCGGAGGGGGGGGGGGGGGGGAGAACCACCCCUUUUGGCCGGCUUAAAGGCCAGAGCCCCCUUUGUUGAGCGCUGGGUCUCGUUCAACCAACUUGCCGAAGUCUGGCUCAGCCAGGACGCACCACCUUGCACCACGAGGUGACGAUGACACAUCGGACCCUUCUCUGCCGUAGAGCAUCCUGCCAGCUCUGCGAGCUACCCUUUUGGGUGCCUGGGUCAACUCCAUUGGGAAGGAAGCGGGCAGCACACGUCCUGUCCGAACGGCUUCCUGAACAGCAACAUAUGGGGUCUGGCCUUCUUGCCUGAGAACUUUGAUCCCCCCUGCUCUUCUUUUUUUGUUCCUUCCUCCUUUCCCGCUAAAUCCACCUGUGCGGACCGGACCGGCGGAACAUUCGGCCGCCUGCCUAAAUUGUGUUUCACGCACGUAAAUCCAACUUGCGGUCUACUAAAAGUACAGAUUAGUGCAUAUUUGGGUUGAAAUUAAUGAGAAUAGGAACCCCCAGCUCUGCAUUGUCAAUAUGCGCUCAUUCCACCCUCCUAUCACAAGUCAGUCUCCUUUGCCAAUGUUUGUCUGUCCUUUGUGUUUUCUUUCCUGCAUUGUUCCCUUGUAGAUUCCCAUGUUAGACCUCAUUAAAUUUUCUGUAAAAAUUCA